AUGGGAACGCGAAGAACCUUACCUACUCUUGACAUCCAGAGAACUUUCCAGAGAUGGAUUGGUGCCUUCGGGAACUCUGAGACAGGUGCUGCAUGGCUGUCGUCAGCUCGUGUUGUGAAAUGUUGGGUUAAGUCCCGCAACGAGCGCAACCCUUAUCCUUUGUUGCCAGCGGUUAGGCCGGGAACUCAAAGGAGACUGCCAGUGAUAAACUGGAGGAAGGUGGGGAUGACGUCAAGUCAUCAUGGCCCUUACGAGUAGGGCUACACACGUGCUACAAUGGCGCAUACAAAGAGAAGCGACCUCGCGAGAGCAAGCGGACCUCAUAAAGUGCGUCGUAGUCCGGAUUGGAGUCUGCAACUCGACUCCAUGAAGUCGGAAUCGCUAGUAAUCGUAGAUCAGAAUGCUACGGUGAAUACGUUCCCGGGUCUUGUACACACCGAGUCGUGGGAGGGCAAGGGGCAC
rnacentral:rRNA from 1 species